CCUACGGGUGGCAGCAGUGAGGAAUAUUGGUCAAUGGCCGGAAGGCUGAACCAGCCAUGCCGCGUGAAGGUCAGUGCCCUAUGGGGGUUAAACUUCUUUUGUGCGGGAGCAAUAAUGGUCACGUGUGGCCAGACUAGAGUACCGUACGAAUAAGCAUCGGCUAACUCCGGGCCAGAAGCCGCGGUAAUACAGGGGAUGAAAGCGUUAUCCGGUAUUAUUUGGGUUAAAGGGUGCUUAGGCUGUGAGGUAAGUCACCGGUGAAAUGCCCCCGCUCAACGGGGUGAAGUGCCAUUGAUACUGCCUUGUUGGUAUGCGGAUGCCGUGGGAGGAAUGUGUGGUGUAGCGGUGAAAUGCAUAGAUAUCACACAGAACACCGAUUGCGAAGGCAUCUCACGAAUCCGCGAUUGACGCUGAUGCACGAAAGCGUGGGUAUCAAACAGGAUUAGAUACCCUUGUAGUC
rnacentral:rRNA from 1 species